AAUGAUGCUUAAAUCUAUAACCGAGCAUGGAUUAAUGAUCACCAACAUGAGGAGAUCAUAAGAUAGCAUGUCUACGGGCUCAAGCACGGAGGCUAAUGGGUCAAAAGAAAGCAUGGAACCUAUGCUUGAACUUGGACGCUCAAGUGUAACGCAGGUACAAUGAGAAAGUCUCACCACGGAAUGUACGA